CAGUCGCCGCGGUAAUACAGAGGGUGCGAGCGUUAAUCGGAUUUACUGGGCGUAAAGCGUGCGUAGGCGGUUAUAUAAGACAGAUGUGAAAUCCCCGGGCUCAACCUGGGAACUGCAUUUGUGACUGUAUAGCUAGAGUACGGCAGAGGGGGAUGGAAUUCCGCGUGUAGCAGUGAAAUGCGUAGAUAUGCGGAGGAACACCGAUGGCGAAGGCAAUCCCCUGGGCCUGUACUGACGCUCAUGCACGAAAGCGUGGGGAGCAAACAGGAUUAGAUACCCCCGUAGUCCCUGUCUCUUAUAC
rnacentral:rRNA from 1 species